GGGCGUUAAGUUGCAGGGUAUAGACCCGAAACCCGGUGAUCUAGCCAUGGGCAGGUUGAAGGUUGGGUAACACUAACUGGAGGACCGAACCGACUAAUGUUGAAAAAUUAGCGGAUGACCUGUGGCUGGGGGUGAAAGGCCAAUCAAACCGGGAGAUAGCUGGUUCUCCCCGAAAGCUAUUUAGGUAGCGCCUCGUGAAUUCAUCUCCGGGGGUAGAGCACUGUUUCGGCUAGGGGGCCAUCCCGGCUUACCAACCCGAUGCAAACUGCGAAUACCGGAGAAUGUUAUCACGGGAGACACACGGCGGGUGCUAACGUCCGUCGUGAAGAGGGAAACAACCCAGACCGCCAGCUAAGGUCCCAAAGUCAUGGUUAAGUGGGAAACGAUGUGGGAAGGCCCAGACAGCCAGGAUGUUGGCUUAGAAGCAGCCAUCAUUUAAAGAAAGCGUAAUAGCUCACUGGUCGAGUCGGCCUGCGCGGAAGAUGUAACGGGGCUAAACCAUGCACCGAAGCUGCGGCAGCGACGUUUAUGCGUUGUUGGGUAGGGGAGCGUUCUGUAAGCCUGCGAAGG
rnacentral:rRNA from 1 species